GAUGAACGCUAGCUACAGGCUUAACACAUGCAAGUCGAGGGGUAGCAGGGUAGCAAUACCGCUGACGACCGGCGCACGGGUGAGUAACACGUAUCCAACCUUCCCAUAACUCUGGGAUAGCCUUUCGAAAGAAAGAUUAAUACCGGAUGGUACUUUUUCAAGGCAUCUUGAGAAAGUUAAAGAUUUAUUGGUUAUGGAUGGGGAUGCGUUCCAUUAGAUAGUUGGUGAGGUAACGGCUCACCAAGUCUUCGAUGGAUAGGGGUUCUGAGAGGAAGGUCCCCCACAUUGGUACUGAGACACGGACCAAACUCCUACGGGAGGCAGCAGUGAGGAAUAUUGGUCAAUGGGCGAGAGCUUGAACCAACCAAGUAGCGUGAAGGAUGAAGGUCCUAUGGAUUGUAAACUUCUUUUAUAGUAGAAUAAAGUGAUCCACGUGUGGAUUUUUGUAUGUAUACUAUGAAUAAGGAUCGGCUAACUCCGUGCCAGCCGCCGCCGUAAAAC
rnacentral:rRNA from 1 species